GUCACUUCCCAUAUCAUUUCAUUUAUAAAAAAUAACCUCAGCUAAAGUACAAUUUCAAGUGCGAAGCAUUCCAGGUGUUUGUUAUUUGCCGUCCGUCCAACUUUGUAAGUCGGUAUGCGCCGUUGCCGAGAACUUCUAUAAUCUUAAACGGGCCCUCCCAUCUGGCUGCCAGCUUGCCGUGAGCCAUUGUACGCCGAGCUUCCCCCGUUUUUCUCCACACGAGAUCCCCUUCUUGAAAACUUCGAGGACGCACCUUGGUAUUGUAUUUCCGUUCGGUCAUUCUUCGACAAGCUUCCGCCCGUAAAACCGCCC
rnacentral:lncRNA from 1 species